AGGGUGCGAGCGUGUCCGGAAUUACUGGGCGUAAAGAGCUCGUAGGUGGUUUGUCGCGUUGUUCGUGAAAUCUCACGGCUUAACUGUGAGCGUGCGGGCGAUACGGGCAGACUUGAGUACUGCAGGGGAGACUGGAAUUCCUGGUGUAGCGGUGGAAUGCGCAGAUAUCAGGAGGAACACCGGUGGCGAAGGCGGGUCUCUGGGCAGUAACUGACGCUGAGGAGCGAAAGCGUGGGGAGCGAACAGGAUUAGAUACCCUGGUAGUCCACGCCGUAAACGGUGGGUACUAGGUGUGGGUUUCCUUCCUUGGGAUCCGUGCCGUAGCUAACGCAUUAAGUACCCCGCCUGGGGAGUACGGCCGCAAGGCUAAAACUCAAAGAAAUUGACGGGGGCCCGCACAAGCGGCGGAGCAUGUGGAUUAAUUCGAUGCAACGCGAAGAACCUUACCUGGGUUUGACAUGCACAGGACGCCGGCAGAGAUGUCGGUUCCCUUGUGGCCUGUGUGCAGGUGGUGCAUGGCUGUCGUCAGCUCGUGUCGUGAGAUGUUGGGUUAAGUCCCGCAACGAGCGCAAC
rnacentral:rRNA from 1 species